CUACGGGCCGCUGCAGUGGGGAAUAUUGCAUAAUGGAGGAAACUCUGAUGCAGCAACGCCGCGUGGAGGAUGACACUUUUCGGAGCGUAAACUCCUUUUAUAUAGGAAGAAGAUGACGGUACUAUAUGAAUAAGCGCCGGCUAACUCCGUGCCAGCAGCCGCGGUAAUACGGAGGGCGCAAGCGUUACUCGGAAUCACUGGGCGUAAAGAGCGUGUAGGCGGAUUAAAAAGUCAGAAGUGAAAUCCUAUAGCUUAACUAUAGAACUGCUUCUGAAACUCUUAAUCUAGAAUAUGGGAGAGGUAGAUGGAAUUUCUGGUGUAGGGGUAAAAUCCGUAGAGAUCAGAAGGAAUACCGAUUGCGAAGGCGAUCUACUAGAACAUUAUUGACGCUGAGACGCGAAAGCGUGGGGGGCAAACAGGAUUAGAUACCCCCGUAGUC
rnacentral:rRNA from 1 species